CCUGAUGCAGCAACGCCGCGUGAGGGAUGACGGCCUUCGGGUUGUAAACCUCUUUUAGCAGGGAAGAAGCGUGAGUGACGGUACCUGCAGAAAAAGCGCCGGCUAACUACGUGCCAGCAGCCGCGGUAAUACGUAGGGCGCAAGCGUUAUCCGGAAUUAUUGGGCGUAAAGAGCUCGUAGGCGGUUUGUCGCGUCUGCUGUGAAAUCCCGAGGCUCAACCUCGGGUCUGCAGUGGGUACGGGCAGACUAGAGUGCGGUAGGGGAGAUUGGAAUUCCUGGUGUAGCGGUGGAAUGCGCAGAUAUCAGGAGGAACACCGAUGGCGAAGGCAGAUCUCUGGGCCGUAACUGACGCUGAGGAGCGAAAGGGUGGGGAGCAAACAGGCUUAGAUACCCUGGUAGUCCACCCCGUAAACGUUGGGAACUAGUUGUGGGGUCCUUUCCACGGAUUCCGUGACGCAGCUAACGCAUUAAGUUCCCCGCCUGGGGAGUACGGCCGCAAGGCUAAAACUCAAAGGAAUUGACGGGGACCCGCACAAGCGGCGGAGCAUGCGGAUUAAUUCGAUGCAACGCGAAGAACCUUACCAAGGCUUGACAUAUACCGGAAACGGCCAGAGAUGGUCGCCCCGCAAGGUCGGUAUACAGGUGGUGCAUGGUUGUCGUCAGCUCGUGUCGUGAGAUGUUGGGUUAAGUCCCGCAACGAGCGCAACCCUCGUUCUAUGUUGCCAGCACGUAAUGGUGGGAACUCAUGGGAUACUGCCGGGGUCAACUCGGAGGAAGGUGGGGAUGACGUCAAAUCAUCAUGCCCCUUAUGUCUUGGGCUUCACGCAUGCUACAAUGG
rnacentral:rRNA from 1 species